rnacentral:rRNA from 1 species
UACGGAGGCCCCAAGCGUUGUUCGGAUUUAUUGGGCGUAAAGGGUGCGUAGGCGGCGUGGUAAGUCAGGUGUGAAAUCCCGGGGCUCAACCCCGGAACUGCACUUGAUACUGCAGUGCUCGAGGACUGGAGAGGAGAUCGGAAUUCAUGGUGUAGCAGUGAAAUGCGUAGAUAUCAUGAGGAAGACCAGUGGCGAAGGCGGAUCUCUGGACAGUUCCUGACACUGAGGCACGAAGGCCAGGGGAGCAAACGGG